AAUUUCGAAUUGAUUGCUAGAAAAAAUAUCCCCGUGUUUGUAGCUAUUUCAUUAACAAAAUUGAAGCCGUGUAUGUGUUUGUGUUUAACGGUGCAUUGUUGUGUCUGCUGGGUGUAAAAUCAAAUCAGCAAAAUAGUCGAGAAAUUUUUGGCGUUUAACGUGUUGUGUGCACACAGGACAGACGGUUUGAAAAUCUGGCCGUGCAUCGUACUGAAACCUAAGUUGAUAGAGCCUUACCACAGCCCCAGACCCAGAGCUGCAGCGGACACUGUGCUUAAAACACGCAUCCAAAGCAGCACGAGUGCACCCAUCCGCAGUCGCCGUAUAACAGUUUACCAUCCUGCUGAAUGCUGAAUGUGCCACACGGUGCAUGAUCAGUUAGCUGCUAGUGCUAGUGCUAGGAUCACCAUCGUUGUUCCAUCCUCCUCGCCAACCUGCAUCAGGACAUUCGAUCAGCCACGAUCAGCAACCACAGUGCCGAGCAGCUAGCUAACUAAAACAGAACAGAUGAAGUAGUUUCUGUUGCGACUAACACAUGUUUCCGUUGAUCACAAAAGCGACCAUGCUCUGUUAACGCUAAGUUCCAUCAAUUGCAUCAAAUAUUCUGUUCUAAGCUUUCUUUUCGUUUCUGUGCGUGUGUGUUUAUUUGUUUCCUUGUUUAAAAAUUGUGUGUUUAUAACCGCAACACCAGUAGGAAGAUUGUUUUCUAUGCAUAGUUGAAUGCGAAAGAGUGCAAGCAGAAAACUUUACCCAUCAAAUUGUACAAGUGUACUGUGCAAAAGUGUUCUGUUGAACGUGCUGAGUGCGUGUGCGCGCGUGUGAUUAUUUUUAUUUAUACCAACAACACCACCAGACUCAUCUGGUACAUCCAUCCGGGGUACACAGUAUAGCUUCCGGAGGGGUUUAAGCUGCAGUUAGUAACGACCGGAGGAAAGCAAAUUUCGUCAAAAUGAGGAAAACUGACACACAAAUGAACGUAGCUGGUAUACGUCGCAACAUCAAGAACAUUGCCCACAACUAUUCCGAUGCGCAGGUGAAGGUACGGGAGGCCACCUCGAACGAUCCAUGGGGCCCAUCGUCCACGAUCAUGGCGGAAAUCGCCGACCUCACGUAUAACGUGGUGGCCUUUUCCGAAAUCAUGCAGAUGAUCUGGAAGCGCAUGAACGAUCAUGGCAAAAACUGGCGACACGUGUACAAGGCAUUGCUUCUGCUGGAGUACCUCAUCAAAACUGGUACGGAGAAGGUGGCGCAACAGUGCAAGGAAAACAUCUACGCCAUCCAAACGCUGAAGGAGUUCCAGUACAUGGAGGAGGGCAAGGAUCAGGGCAUGCAUGUGCGGGAAAAGGCAAAACAACUCGUUUCGCUGCUGAAGGACGACGAGCGGCUGAAGAACGAGCGGGCACGUGCGUUGAAGGCAAAGGAACGCUUUGCCCGAACAGCCAGCGGCUUCGGUAGCGAUGGUUCGAUCGAUGGCCCAACACAGCGUGACCCAAGGCCACCAAACUGGGGCGAAGGUGAACCGAUUGCGGGUGCCGCUACGAGCGGCGUUGGAAAGCCCGUAUCGGAGAUUGAGUUCGUACGACCGCAAACAGUGGGCGAAGAAGAACUGCAGCUGCAGCUGGCAAUGGCCAUGUCACGGGAGGAAGCCGAACAGGAGGAGCAGAAGCGUCGCAGCGACGAUGUUCGAUUGCAGUUGGCACUCAGCCAAAGCGAGCAGGACUUCAAGAAAGAUCAUGAUCCUAAGGCACCGCAGGAAGGCAGUAGUGCGCUGGUAGACUUGCUGGACAUUUCGUUCGGCGCGGCCUCGAUUAGCAGUCCGUCGCAGCAACCGCUUGCCGGACCAUCCGGUGCUGGCGCACCGAUAGAUCCGUGGGGAAUGCCCGUUGCAGGCGGAUCACGACCAACGACAUCGGAUCCUUGGUCAAGAACCUCAUCCCCACCGGCGGUAGUGGAUCCGUGGUUAAAUACAGCGUCCGCUCUACCUACGGCCGACCCGUCCACCUCGAAACCACCGUUGCUGGGAGCGGACGCUUGGCAGCCACGCACGCAAUCGCCCUCGGUCACGUCCGGAUCGUCGGUUGAGGGAUGGUUGCAAAACGGUGCUGGUGCUGGUGCCGCCGGUGGUUCGACGAUGAUGAACGGUGCCGGGGCUACGAACGGAAACCUUGAUCCUUGGUACAGCAAAACGAAUGCUGUUCCUCUCGGAGUUACUGCGCCUCCUCAAGCAACGGCAGCCGAUCCUUGGCAGGCAAAUAAACGAUCAACGCCCGUGCCUACGGCCGGUGCUGCCGGUGGUGACCCGUGGCAAUCGACUGCAUCCGCUGCCAAGCUCGAUCCUUGGGCUCCAGUUAGUAAUAACUCUAACACUGGCAGUGUAGGCGAUCUGGAAGCGACAUUCGGUGGUGGCAGUGCGCCUCUAAUGAAUCGACCUUCGCCUGUCGGUGCGAUCACUUCGCCGGUAUCGGACCUGGAUGAGUUUGACAUAAUAACCAAGCGGGCGGCCAGCAACAACAGUAGCAGCAGCACCAACAACAACAAUAACCAUAAUGCCGCUAGCAACAAUCUGAACAAUAACAGCUCACUGCUUUUGGGAGAUCUAGAUCCACUGUCAUCCUCCAGCUCGCCCAGCAUGGGGGCGACAACGGCCGCGAAGAAAACUCCCCAAUCGUUCCUCGGUGAAAACUCGGCGCUGGUAAAUCUGGACAAUCUAAUCAAACCGAUGCCGAGCGGUGGCGGUGUGGCUGCAUCAGCCACGUCGUCCGCGGCAUACAAUCCGUUCGGGGAUACUGGUGGGGCCGGUGCUGCACCCGUACAAAAGAACCUAUUCCAGCAAAAUCAACCUCAGGUUCCGUCCAUCAAUCAGUUGAAACAGUCCCCGUUUCCAGUGACGCUUAAUCAGGAUCCUUGGGCACCGGUUUCAAACAUGGCCACAGCGCAACACGCCACGUCCAGUAGCAACGGAGCUUGGACACUAAAGUAAACGUCCCGUAAUCGAUCGUGCUCGUGUAGAGAAUGCCCCUGACCAUUCCCUUCAACCUCCUGUUCCCUGUCGUAUCCCCUUUACCCUCCCAUUCCUCGUUCCAACUGUCCCUGUAGGUAGUAAUUGCUCCGACCUCGUAACGUGAUUGGUGAUUUUGGGCAGUACGGCGCUCCUGUAUAACACGCUUGUGCUUGUGCCGGGUGAUUGUAUGCCUUUGUCCGGGAACGGGUUGUGGCCAACAUCACAACAACUCUCCACACGCAUCUCAACACAAGAACAACAACAAUCGCAACCCAAACGCUGUGCUGCUUCCUUCCUGCUUCCGAGCCAAUGUGCGCUCGUCUGUCCCCAUGUGUGUGUGUGUCUGUACGUGUGUAUGUAUGUGCAAGCGUUUUUUAUGUAAUGCCAUCAGGAACAUCGGGCCUGCCCGUGGACAACAAAACCGCCCGUGGACACACCCCGUACAUCCCGCUCGCUCACAGUACAAGGCACUGUAUCGAAAGUGCCCGCUUCUGGCCAACCUAAACAAUAACAAUAGUGCGCCGUGGAUGAAUCCGCAAUCGUCGAAUCCAUUCCUUUCGUAACAAGCCUAGCACCCAGGAGGAUAGGAUGUGCAUAUGAUGGCGCAGCGCAUACCGAUCCUUUCACACACUACCACGAGAACGAGAACGAGUCGUACUGGGGAGACCGGUGGGGGGAUACGGAGAUGUAAAACUGGGGACACGAAUACAGGUUGGGGAGAGAGAGAGAGAGAAACCCGCCAACUAACCAAACAUUGUUUUAGAACAGGGUAACGGAAGCAGGAGCGGAAGGAUGAAUGAACCACACCACAAAACCGUAACAACCCAACCACAGACCACAGAUAGAUAGAGAAAACAACAAACAAAACUGGCAAAAAAAGGAAGUAGUAUACAUCGAGCUAGAGCUUUUAAUUUUCCUAAGAGCCCGAUCCGCGAAAAAAGGGUUGGCCAGAAGAGGAAGGCUUGCUUGCUUGCUUGCUUCUCCACUGUGGAUCGAGGGCGCAUCACUUUUGAGAGUCAUUUACAUACGCGCCGAUUAGCUUUUUAUGCUGAUUAGCGCGCCAGCUAGCCAAAAUCGACGGACAUUAAGAACUACUUAAAACGAGGCCAUGUUUUCGUUUCCGCUCAGCUCCCCCCGUUCAAUAGGAAGCAAUUUGUAGCAGGUCGAUGGUUUCCACUAGGCCGUGAUUUCAGUCAACCAAGGCUCUCCCCAUACUUUAAUCGACAAAAGGUGGAAAUGCGUUGAGCAACAACGAUAACGAUGGAUAGGUGUAGCAACAAAACAAAACAAGAGAAAAAAAACAGGAGAUCGGCGAACAAGCGACCGCGCGCUAGGAAGAAUUUAAGCAAAUUAAUGAAAAAAUGCCUUAUUACAGUUGAGAAACGGAUGACGUUCGUUGUAUGAAGAAAAAAUGUAACACACUACUACUACUACUACUACUACUACUAAAUGAUAAAGCAGAGGAACACAAUGAUACCACAAAGUAGGAAGAAUCUUGCGUUUGAUUGUUUUUCAAAGUGCGGAAACGGAAGGACCCGCACGACCAUGCCCCGAAAUGGGCUAACUCUGUCUGUUGGUUGUUUUUAGGAAACAUUGGCUAGAAAACCAAAUGCUUAUCCUUUUUACACUUUUGACCAAUCGAACCGGUGUUUUAGAAAGCGAAAGUAAUUAUUGUACGUGUUUCACGACUGUCUUUUGUUUCCCUGGCCGUGGGAAGCAUGAGUGUACACAAUCUAAUUUAUUUAACUUGCUUCCUCGGAACAACGGGGCAAACUACGUGGACACUUUGGCUUUGGCGUUUACCUCUUGCGUUUGCUUCUGCCACUCCUGUUCCUUCCGUUUCGUCGCUCUUUGCUGUAUUAUUUAUCGUAAGAUAGAGGAACAACAACAAAAAAAAAACGCGGAUCGGUUCAUUUAUUGCGGUUGGGUUUAGGUAUGUUAGAGCUCGUCCGCGAGCUAACCUCUGUUUAAUUGCCGGCAACAAGGGAAAGAGAGGCGACCCAUUUAUAUAGCAAAAAAGAAGAUAAUCCAACGAAGAUUGUCCACACGCGCGUCCUGAUUCAUUGGGAGUGGGGCUGUGUGGUGGAUGAUUGUGAGACGAAGAAACCAAGCUUCAUCUUUCUAACAAAAAAAAAA